rnacentral:rRNA from 1 species
GAACCUACGGGGCGCAGCAGUGAGGAAUAUUGGUCAAUGGGCGGGAGCCUGAACCAGCCAAGCCGCGUGAAGGAAGAAGGCGCCAGGCGUCGUAAACUUCUUUUGUCGGGGAACAAAGGGCGCCACGCGUGGCGUUGUGAGUGUACCCGAAGAAAAAGCAUCGGCUAACUCCGUGCCAGCAGCCGCGGUAAUACGGAGGAUGCGAGCGUUAUCCGGAUUUAUUGGGUUUAAAGGGUGCGUAGCUGGUCCGGAAGGUAAGCGGUAAAAGCCGGG